UUUGAUCCUGGCUCAGAAUGAACGUUGGCAGCGUGGAUUAGGCAUGCAAGUCGAGCGACAAGUCUUCCUUCGGGGAGAUGGAGGAGCGGCUAACGGGGUAGUAAGGCAUCGGAACGUACCUUUUCGUCUGGGAUAGCCAUGGGAAACUGUGAGUAAUACCGGAUAAUAUCUUCGGAUCAAAGGUUUACUGCGAUUAGAGCGGCCGAUGUGAGACUAGGUAGUUGGUAGGGUAAUGGCCUACCAAGCCAGAGAUCUCUAGGGGGUGUGAGAGCAUGACCCCCACCACUGGAACUGAGACACUGUCCAGACACCUACGGGUGGCUGCAGUCGAGAGUCUUCGGCAAUGGGCGAAAGCCUGACCGAGCGACGCUGCGUGCGGGAUGAAGGCCCUUGGGUUGUAAACCGCUGUCAGAGGGGAUCAAAGGAAACUUGAGAGAGCCUCAGAGGAAGCGCGGGCUAAGUUCGUGCCAGCAGCCGCGGUAAUAAGGG
rnacentral:rRNA from 1 species